UGAAAACUGAUAACUUUUAAAAUUAAAACUUCCUAACACAAUAGUUUAAAAUCAGUACACGUAUUUAACUGAUCAGGUUAACAUACAAAACUAUUAAUUUUCAGCAUAAUGAAGAUAUUUAGCAGUCUAUUAACAGGAAUAUUUUUCAUAAUUGGAUUGCCGUAUUUCGCGCGGAGUACAAGCGAAUGUCCCGAUGGCACAUAUGGGUUGAACUGUUCACAGACGUGCAGCACACAUUGUCGUUAUGGAAACGAACCCUGUAACAAAGCAGACGGAAGUUGCCAUGAUGGAUGUGCUACUGGAUAUGACUAUUUUCUAGAUACAAAGUGCAACCAAAAGUGCGCUUCUGGCCAUUCCGGGUGGAGGUGUCAACCUUGCGGACACUGCAAAGAGUCCGAGUGUGACUGGAUGACUGGUGAAUGUACCCACGGGUGUGAUUCUGGGUGGUGGACACCAAUAUGCAAAACUGCAUGCGACGACGGCAAAUAUGGGUUAAACUGUUCACAGUCAUGUGGCAAAAACUGCGUUGAUCCUCGUUCAUGUAACAAAACGAAUGGAGCGUGCAUUGGUGGAUGCCGUCCUGGAUAUGAUUAACAGGAAGACGUGUUUUGCAAUAUUGCAUGCGAACGAGGAUACUUUGGACUUUACUGCACUUCAAAGUGCCACUGCAAAGAAGGACUACAUUGUGACCACGUAUCUGGGAUAUGUUCCGGGUCAAGAUGUGAACUCGGAUGGACUGGCGACAAUUGUAGUAUACAACUAGUGACGAAUGAGACAACAGCUCAAGAACCCGUAAAGCCGUUAUCUGCAAUAUUGUCAAUGAAAGACAACUAUAUUAAACUUUUAUUAAUUAUAAUAUCAGUGAUAUCAACGGUCCUGGGACUUUUUAGCGCAGCCUUUAUAUUAAUGUUCUGCAUUAAACGUUCGAGAAGGAUAAAACAGAAGCCAUCCGCAAACUCUGAUAGUUCCACAAAAUCCUUGAAUCUGACGUCUACAUCCACAAUUAUAUAUGGUGCUCUAUCGUCAACAGCACAAAUAUCUAAUGACGAUGAGCAGGUGCAAAUGAGCUCAGAUGCAUGUGAAUCCGAUUCUCCCGAGUAGUGGAUCGUUCGAAUAUAAGGACGUACAUCCUGCUUUUAUAGCGAACAAGUGUACUUAAAGGAACCACUUAUGCCAUAAAAUCGAGUUGUCUGAAGUAUUAACAUAGAACUAAACUCAAUUUUUAAAUUAAUAAACAAAAAUGUAUGACUGUUUUAUUCGGUGUUUGUUAUUCGAUUCUUAGUACGCGUAAGGUUAUAGGGAUUGUCUGUGACACUAUCAGCAUUACGUACACGUGAUCUUUUACGUCGUAUAAUGAAGACACGUUCUAAACAUCAUGGUGUUUUGCGAUUUGUUUCAAUGAAAAGGUAGAUAACAGUGUUUUUUAAGAUAUUUUUGAAAGGUGUAUGCAUUAAUCUUAACAUCGAGGCAGAUCUUUACAUUACGAAAGGAUAACUUAUAGUAAAUAUAAUAUGUUUAUAAAGACGUUUGUUGCGUUAAGCUUGGGGAAAAACCGGUUCGAAAACAGUGAUCGUCACGAUUUCCAGCAUCCAUGAAUAUGUUCAACUGGUUCGAAAUUGUUUUUAGACCAUUUCAUUAAGAUGUUGAAAUAUUGAUAAUUUUAGCAGAUGUAAUAGGAGCGUUCUUUAGCUACUUAUUGGACCUGUUGAUGUUAUACCUCGAAAUUAAUGGGCUUCCUGCUUUCGUGAAGAAAUAACCAGCAGGGAUCCAUAAAUCAAUAGAUUCCGAUUAUAUUCCAUUUAAAAAACUGGUCUUUGAUAAACAAUUUAAAUGUUACAGGCACCAGUAGCGUUGCAAAUCGAUCUGCUCAUUUCACAAGUAUUCUUCGUAUUUGUUUCCUUCCAAGCAACCAAUGUUCACAUUUAAAUUAGUGUUUUUCAAAUAUCGCGUGUGUGAAUGCCUCGCUAACCAUUGCAUUUGACAUUAACAUUAAAAAGCGUUUUUUAUCAUAAAAAUGUAUUCAUUAUAUACAUGUGCAUGCUCUGUGGUGAAAGCGUUUCCAAAUUGUAUAGUUAAAGAUACAUGAUCAUACCAAUACACUAAUUGAAUGUUAAAGCGUCAUAAAAUAAAACAAUCGAAUACGUAUCGACCGACCAUUCGACCAAACCACGGACAGGUGCGAUUGGACAUACAUCUUAUGAUAACUAUUUUUUACAAAGUCCGUUCUUUUUUCUGGACCAGAACUUGCGUUUUUAGAAUAAAGGUUAAACAUAUUAACAACGCAACAGUUUACUUUCAGAUAUGUACUUAUGGCAAUUAGACAUUUUACUAUUAUAUUCUCAUACCCAAACAGAACAUGCUCGGUAUUACACGUUGAAAGAUUUUGUUGAAUAUUUUGUGAAAGUACACGUGAGAAUUACUUUUAUAUCUAAAAAUUAAUUUCAUGUGAGUUGGAGAUAACGUUAACAUAUCUUUGACAGUUGUAUAUAU